AAUUUUAUUGGAGUAUAGUUGACUUACAAUGUUAUAUUUGUUUCAGGUGUACAGCAAAGUGAAUCGGUCAUACAUAUAAAGUAUAUCCAUUCUUUUUUCCCACACUAUUGAGAUCUUCCUGUGCUAUACAGUUGGUUCUUCUUGCAUGGUACACUCUAAAUGGCUGGAUUUAACGGUGUACGAGUUCCAUCUCAACUAAGAUCUUACAAAAUCUCAAGCUUAGCAGAGAGCCUGGCACAUACAGGAAGUCAGUACAAGUUCCUUUUCUGAAUUACAUGCAUACAUGGCUCUUUUCCUCCCGGCAUGGCUGUUUCUUUUUGACAGCCCUGAUUAUGAGCUGGCAGAUCCAGGACAAGAAGUCUGCCUAGAAGAGCUCAAAGCUUUCUAAAGGCUGGUGACAGGCUUAUAAGCAGCCAAAAGGGUAAGAAGCAUCCAUACCAGAAGGCUUGGUUACAAAUCCGAGGAGAAAGAAUUUGGCAGCAAGGCACACGUGGACGUGGGGUCUUUAACAAAGGGAGAGCAGGCAGCAGUGUGUGAGCAAAGGCAAGGGGCAGGGCAAAAGGGGCAGCAUGAGAGAAGGCUGGGAGUCAAUCCCCAGGAGCACUAAGGGCCAGGGCAAGGUGAAGAACAGAAACAUCCUUCUGCCCAUUCCUGCUCCUGCCUGCUGAGAGCCAGCCCUGGAAGUGCUGGCCCAGAUGCUGGUCACACCUGGCUGAAGGGUAACUUGCUGAGUCGGCCACGGUGGCUUCUGUUGGACAAAUCCAGACUCUCUUAGGAGUCCUCUUGUGGCACAGUGGGUUAAGGCUCCAGCAUUGUCACUACAGCGGCUGGGGUCACUGCUGUGGCUCAGGUUCAACCCCUGGCCCGGGAACUUCCACAUGCCAGGCAUGCCUGUUCCAGUGAAAGGUUUUUGAUCACCAGUAACAGACCUGUACACGGUGGUUUUAAGGGGCAGGGCUGAAAAGCCACAGCAGAUCCUCUCAUACGGAUGGAAGGACAGGACAUCAGGGUAGGAAGCCUCUCCCUCUCUCCUCCUCUGACUCCCACGCAGGCCUCCAUCCCCACUUAUCUCAAGCCUCAAGCCUUUCUACAGCCUGGUUUUACUGAGAACUUACAGCUGGGGUUGCAAAGCCCUGUAUUCAGCUUAUAGGAAGAUAUAUCAGCAUAUCAACUUUGACUCCAUCUGACCUUCCCUUCCUAGCAAACACUUGCACCCAACUCACCUCUCAAUUUGAGAGUCCCCGGAGAGAAUUCAUGGGGGUUCACCUAGGGUAAGGUGUCGACUUCUGGUCCCCUGAGCUAUUGGGGAGCAACAGGGAAGGGAUGCGUGGCACCAGGCUAUGAGACUGCCCUCCUAGGAGCCAGUGGAGGGGCAGCCCCCAGGAAAAGAUAUGCCUCAGUUUGCUUCGUAUUUUGCUUGGUGAUGGUGGUCAUGUAACACACUCUGAUCUUUUUCUACUCUAUAACAGUCCAUUUUUAAUGCUCCUUUAGCUUACUUAACUGAUUUAACUAAUAAGUGAACACCAAUAGUUUGAAAAGCCCUGCGAUUGUCUCUAUUGUCCUGUAAUUUUAUCAUUUAAAAACAAUUUUAUACUUUUCACAUUAUAGUCGUCUAGGAGAAAACUCCCCAAUCCUUUUCCCAGUAAUUCCCAACUCCAUAAUAUUUUAGCCACGUUUAAAAGAUGAGCCAAGCUGCCCAGAGGUGUCUUUGUAUUGAGACAUCAAUACAAAACAGAGGUAGAUGUAGUUACAUGAAUGGCCCUGAUCUCAUUUACUAGACAGCCUACAUCCAUCACACUAAAAGCCACAUUUGAAAUUACAAUUGCCCGAGGCCAUAUACAAAUUUGAAUUGUUUUCAUACAGUGUCCUUGGGCCAGCUGCAUGACAUCCCUGUUCUCAACUUGUUCAGUGACCAACAGGGACCCAUACCCUCGCGUUAACCAACCCACCUGAGAAGCACCAGCCACCGUCUCUUUGCAAAGCCAUCCCUUGGACUCACUUCUCUUGUUCCAAAUGGGAAAAAAACCUAACUCUGCUGGUAAUGUACGUCCCUCUGGGGAAUCAGCAAUUCCUUUUUUUUUUUUUUUUUAGGGCCGUAUGUGAGAAGGUCCCAGGCUAGGGGUCGAAUCAGAGCCUACACCACAGCCACAGCAAUGCAGGAUCCGAGCUGCAUCUGUGACCUACACCACAGCUCAUGGCAAUGCCAGAAACUUAACCCGAGAGAGAGAGGCCAGGGAUCAAACUUGGGUCCUCAUGGAUACUAGUAGCAUUUGUUACCUCUGAGCCACAACAGGAACUCCGAAUCAGCAAUUCUGAUCAAACUGGGUUAUAAAUCGAAUCAAAUGCUUUUUGGAGGACUGAGAGAUGGGAAAAUAAGUACUAUCAGCAGAGGAAACCAUGGAGGGAAAAGAGAAGAUGGAAAGAUUUCCAUCUCCGGCAUCAAGAACUGGUGUGCCUUCCACGUGUGGCACAGCGUGAUGAGAACUGCUGAAAUUCCUGCCUGUCCCAGAGCAAGCCCGAGAGAGCGAAACGCUGGAUCAGACUCCCUGGGUCCAGCUCCAGCUCUGUUACUCACACCCCUGAGCCCAGCUGGACUCUGCAGUAUGAAGCAUGGAACAAUCAGACCUGGUUCACAGGCUUACUGGGAAGAUUCAAGUACAACUAAUAGCCUCUGCGAAGUGCUUAGCUAAGCACCUGCCACACAGUCCGUAUCUAUCAAAUGUUCAGGGCAGUUGUUACUGUCCCUCAACUAACACCCCAGCUAACCUGCCAAGGGGCUCAAAACUCAUGAGAAGAAUUCUGUCCUUGAUUGAAUGCUUUUCCUGUUAUUCUCUCAAAGUUCAGUUCAGAUCUGCUUAGCCCACUCCAGGACCCUUUUGGAUCCUUCUUCUCUUCUAUAAUUAUUUGGUUCCUUCCUGUGCUUCCUCAAAACCUGUGCCUGCUUGAAGGCUUUCUCCCUGACCAGACCUUGAGGUCCACGGAUGCAGAAAAUGAAAGGAACUCAUCUUGCUAAGCUCUUUGGAGAGACCAGUGCUCAAAGCAUGAGAGCUGAACUGAAUUCCACACGAUAAUUGAGAGCAGUCUCCUAACCUGGUCGGAUAUACCAGUUCCAGGGGCACACAAUCCCCAUCUGCCUGUCUGAGCAUCCAGAGCACCUAGGAAGUGGGAAUGGCAUUAGAAAUGGCUGCCCCUCCAUAUAUCAGGACAAAACUUCCAUUCAAAAAGAUACAUGGAUGCCUGUGUUCAUUACAGCACUGUUCACAAUAGCCAAGACAUGGAAACAACCUAAAUGUCCAUCAUCGGAUGGAUGGAUUAAGAAGAUGCGGUACCUAUAUAUAUAUGCAAUGGAAUAUUACUCAGCCAUAAAAAAGAACAAAAUAAUGCCCUUUUGCAGCAACAUGGAUGCAAUUAGAGAUUCUCAUACUAAGUGAAGUCAAGUCAGAAAGAGAAAGACCAAUACCAUAUGAUAUCACUUAUAUGUGAAAUAUAAAAUAUGUCACAAAGAGUUCCUGUCAUGGCUCAGCAGAAAUGAAUCAAACUAGCAUCCAUGAGGACACAGGUUCAAUCCCUGGCCUUGUUCAGUGGGUUAAGGAUCCGGCAUUGC
rnacentral:lncRNA from 9 species